rnacentral:lncRNA from 1 species
GAGUUAAUUUAAAUAUUUCUGUAACCUGUUGAUAUGAAUACAACACUGCACAAUUUUUCUUUCUCAUUUUCCCCUUGCUGGUUAAUGGCAAGCCCUUAGCUCUGUCUUCCCAGUUUCUCUUUUUUUUUAAUUUAACUUUUAUUUUAAGUUCAGGGAGACAUGUGCAGGUUUGUUAAAUAGGCUGCUGAGGCGCUGAUCUGAGAUGUGCUUCCAUAAGGAACAAGGCAGUAGAGGAGGAGCCAAGAUGGCCAAAUAGGAACAGCUCCGGUCUACGGCUCCCAGCGUGAGAGAUGCAAAAGACGGGUGAUUUCUGCAUUUCCAUCAGAGUUUCAAGUAAAAAUGAAAAUCUCAACCGUGUCAUUAUUCAUGCCAAGCCUUAAACCUGGAUCAAGCUUUUCUAUCUAAUGUCACUCAUCAAAGACAAUUGUAAAUCCUUCAUCUACCUUAUCUUAUCUAAUACUCACAAAAACAAAGGGUGAUAUGGCAGAGACAGUUACAGUGCUCACCAAUGACUGCAAAAUGUCCGCAUCUCCCAGCCUCACUUGCAGAUAGAUGGGGACCAUGGAACUAGUUCCCACCAAAGAACUAUGAGUAGAAAUAGCAUGUGUCUGGAGCCAAAGAAGUUAAAAGCUGACAUGCCUCCUCCAUCCCUCUUUUCUCCUGCAAUAAUUAUCUUGGCUUGGAAGCCACAAGAGAAGAUGAGCUGACAGAUCCACACUGGAAUCUACAAGAGUGAAAAAUAUAAUUUCAUUGUGUUAAACCACUAAGAUUUCAGAAUUUGUCUGUUAUAACAGCAUAGCCUAUCCUGUCCUGACAAACAUAGAUAAUAUUUGGAAUAUGUAAUAACUAGUACAGAACAGGCACUAACAUAUUAGAAUGAAUGCAAUGACCAAUGAAUGAACGUCAUCGGCUGUACAUGACUGACAUGGCCAUAUGAGUCCAUACCAGUUAAAUAGCGAUGAAAACAACUCUACAAAUUUAUCCCAGUUUUAUAAUUGAUGAAACAGAAGCAUUGAGAGCUUGCCUAAGACAAUGACUUGUAAAUGGCAGAGUAGGAAUUCAAAUCAGCUGUUUGAUACAUAGACCAUUCUCUUUCUAUCUCAACAUUCUGCUUCCUACUUGUUGAAUGAUGCCUAAAUUACCCGAACAAUUAAUUCAUCAUGACUGCAGUAGAAGUGUCCGAAUACUUCAUUGUUUAUUUAAACCAUAGGGCAUGGUCCAAUCGUAUAUGUUUAUUCUUGUUGAAUUUUCUGUAACUUGAACUCAUUCUUGCCUCUGUAUAGGAUGUCAGUAUUAUAUUUUGCUUUUCCUUUCAAAUUUGCCUUUUGUCAUUAUUAAUCAUUAACCCUGAAACUGUAUUAUUUAAGGGGAUACAUCCAACUUUAUGACAUAACAUAUAUUAAAAAUGCAAGAGAAAAUUAAA